UACGUAGGGUCCGAGCGUUGUCCGGAAUUACUGGGCGUAAAGAGCUCGUAGGUGGUUUGUCGCGUUGUUCGUGAAAACUCACAGCUUAACUGUGGGCGUGCGGGCGAUACGGGCAGACUUGAGUACUGCAGGGGAGACUGGAAUUCCUGGUGUAGCGGUGGAAUGCGCAGAUAUCAGGAGGAACACCGGUGGCGAAGGCGGGUCUCUGGGCAGUAACUGACGCUGAGGAGCGAAGGCGUGGGGAGCGAACAGG
rnacentral:rRNA from 1 species